rnacentral:tRNA from 1 species
GAGGGUAUAGCUCAGUGGUAGAGUGCAUGCUUAGCAUGCACGAAGUCGGGGUCAAUCCCCAGUACCUCCA